rnacentral:rRNA from 1 species
AGGACGAACGCUGGCGGCGUGCUUAACACAUGCAAGUCGAGCGGAAAGGCCCUUCGGGGUACUCGAGCGGCGAACGGGUGAGUAACAUGUGAGUAACCUGCCCCUAGCUCUGGGAUAGCUCCGGGAAACCGGGAUUAAUACCAGAUACGACCACUUUAGACAUCUGUCGUGGUGGAAAGGAUUCCGGCUAGGGAUGGGCUCGCGGCCUAUCAGCUUGUUGGUGGGGUAACGGCCUACCAAGGCGACGACGGGUAGCCGGCCUGAGAGGGCGACCGGCCACACUGGGACUGAGACACGGCCCAGACUCCUACGGGAGGCAGCAGUGGGAAUAUUGCGCAAUGGGCGAAAGCCUGACGCAGCGACGCCGCGUGGGGGAUGAAGGCCUUCGGGUUGUAAACCCCUUUCAGCAGGGACGAAGCGAAAGUGACGGUACCUGCAGAAGAAGCGCCGGCUAACGUACGUGCCAGCAGCCGC